rnacentral:lncRNA from 1 species
CUCGAAUCCAAAAAAGUUAAAAAAAAAAAAAAAAAAAAAAAAAAAAAAAAAAAUCCAAAUAAAAUACGAAGUUGAAGAGCAUUGAAAUCCAAAAUUCCUAAAAGUGUUGCCAAAUACAGCUAAGGUAAUCUAUGCCUGAGGUAGAAAAGCCUUAGUAUUUCAAAAAAUUCAAAAUUUUGUAAACAGUUAAUUUAUAAAUAUAACAAUAUCAAUGAUAAUUCAUGUCAGUACAAAAAGUGCUGACUACUGGGCUUGUGAUACCCUCGGGGAAAUAAAUCUCCACCAGCAGUGGCAUCGAUUAAGUUAUAAUCCUGGUACUUUUGAUAACUUUAUUUAACCUCAUUUAAAUCCGUUUAUAUACAAUCUUUAAUUUUACCCUGGGUUGCGUAAGUGUGAAUCGUAUUCAGUUAUAAGAAAGAAAAUGAAGCAAGGCAGCAGAAAGGAAUCCCCUUAUGUUGACUGAUUCGUCCCACAAAACAAAUCAUUCAUGUACAAAUCAUUCAUGUACAAGUAAACGAUGGUUUACAUUUUUAAUCUACGAUUUGUAAUCAAACAGACCUAGACAAAUCGUCAUUACAAGAUAAGCACGUGCUUGUCUGUCUAUUAAUAUUUAUAUUUAUAUCUAUGUUUAUAUCAGGUCGUAAGAUCAUCAACAGUCUUUGCAGGUCAUCUCGAUGGUUAAUUAGAUGGCGUCUAGUCUAAAAUACACACAAAAUUUUGAUUCAUUAUAAAGAGUUAAUGCAUUGAUAAUUAAUUGUUUCUUUUUGAAUUUUAACAAUUUGGAUAUACGUUUUAGUGCGCUAUAAAUCAAAUUUGAGAAUAUAAGUCAAAACGGCCUACCAUAAAUUUAACAGCUAAUAAAAUAAUGCCCUAUGAGUCAGCAAAGAGGUAAGGUGACUAUUUUGAAAAUCAUUCUGCGACCUCCAAGAUAAUUUAGAUGUACACAUACUCUAUGC